rnacentral:rRNA from 1 species
AUUGAACGCUGGCGGCAGGCCUAACACAUGCAAGUCGAGCGCGCGGCGCGCGGGUGAGUAAAGUAUGGGGGAUGCCCGAGAGGGGGGGAUAACUACUGUAGACGGUGGCGAAUACCGCAUACUAUAUGAGAACCCAUAUGGGAUUAGCUAGUAGGUGAGGUAAAGGCUCACCUAGGCGACGAUCCCUAGAUGGUCUGAGAGGAUGACCAGCCACACUGGGACUGAGACACGGCCCAGACUCCUACGGAGGCAGCAGUGGGGAAUAUUGCACAAUGGGCGCAAGCCUGAUGCAGCCAUGCCGCGUGUAUGAAGAAGGCCCUAGGGUUGUAAAGUACUUUCAGUCGGGAGGCGUUACCGACAGAAGAAGCACCGGCUAACUCCGUGCCAGCAGCCGCGGUAAUUC